rnacentral:rRNA from 1 species
UGGCACAAACCUCUGAAUUUUAGGUCUCUCUGAGCACCAAACAAAUGAAUCAAAACUUUCAACAACGGAUCUCUUGGUUCGGGCAUCGAUGAAGAACGCAGCGAAAUGCGAUAAGUAAUGUGAAUUGCAGAACUCAGCGAAUCAUCGAAUCUUUGAACGCACAUUGCGCCCGGGAGUAUUCUCCCGGGCAUGCCUGUUCGAGCGUCAUUUCAACCCUCGCGCCCCGCGCGGUGUUGGGGCCCUGCGGCUGCCGCAGGCCCUGAAAUCUAGUGGCGGGCUCGCCAGGAUCCCCAGCGCAGUAAUUCUUCUCGCUGGAGGCUCCGGGCGGGUCCCUGCCGUGAAACCCCCAUCUUUUACAAGGUUGACCUCGAAUCAGGUAGGAAUACCCGCUGAACUUAAGCAUAUCAAUAAGCGGAGGAAAAGAAACCAACAGGGAUUGCCCUAGUAACGGCGAGUGAAGCGGCAACAGCUCAAAUUUGAAAUCUGGCCUCGGCCCGAGUUGUAAUUUGCAGAGGAAGAUUCUGGCGCGGUGCCUUCUGAGUCCACUGGAACGUGGCGCCACAGAGGGUGAGAGCCCCGUGUAGUUGGACACCAAGCCUGUGUGAAUCUCCUUCGACGAGUCGAGUAGUUUGGGAAUGCUGCUCUAAAUGGGAGGUAAAUUCCUUCUAAAGCUAAAUAUUGGCCCGAGACCGAUAGCGCACAAGUAGAGUGAUCGAAAGAUGAAAAGCACUUUGAAAAGAGAGUCAAAUAGCACGUGAAAUUGUUGAAAGGGAAGGAUUUGCGACCAGACUUGCGCCGUACGGAUCUCCCGGUGUUCUCACCGGUGCACUCCGUGCGGUUCAGGCC